rnacentral:rRNA from 1 species
CCUACGGGAGUCAGCAGUGGGGGAUAUUGCACAAUGGGGGGAACCCUGAUGCAGCGACGCCGCGUGGGUGAAGGAGUGCUUCGGCAUGUAAAGCCCUAUCGGCAGGGAAGAAGCAAGACGGUACCUGACUAAGAAGCCCCGGCUAACUACGUGCCAGCAGCCGCGGUAAUACGUAGGGGGCGAGCGUUAUCCGGAUUCACUGGGUGUAAAGGGAGCGUAGACGGCCAUGCAAGCUAGGGGUGAAAGCCCGGGGCCCAACCCCGGGACUGCCCUUGGAACUGUGCUGCUAGAGUGCGGGAGGGGCAGGCGGAAUUCGUGGUGUAGCGGUGAAAUGCGUAGAUAUCAGAAGGAACACCGGCGGCGAAGGCGGCCUGCUGGACCGCGACUGACGUUGAGGCUCGAAAGCGUGGGGAGCGAACAGGAUUAGAUACCCUUGUAGUC